rnacentral:lncRNA from 1 species
UUUAAUAUCUUAUCGUAUAUUCUAUUUAAUUUCUAUAUUUUCUCUAUCCUCUAACAAUAUGUCUCUCUCAUCUUUAUCACCUACAAUUUAGCUUUUCAUUUAUCUAUGCAAGGGUGUUUUUUGUAAUACAUAUUAAUUUAAAUGGAGUAAUUUUAGGAGUUUUAAUUUCCUUAAUCUCUAUUCAAAAACCUUUUAACGUCACAUAUUUAGGAAUGGAGGGAGUACUUUUCUAAGUUGCAAAAAUUAAAUUUGGGCUCAGGAUCUUGAAUAAUUCUUUUGUUGCCACUUGUUUUGUACAUGAG